UGGGGAACAUUGGACAAUGGGGGCAACCCUGAUCCAGCCAUGCCGCGUGUGUGAAGAAGGCCUUUCGGUUGUAAAGCACUUUAAGCAGGGAGGAGAGGCUAAUGGUUAAUACCCAUUAGAUUAGACGUUACCUGCAGAAUAAGCACCGGCUAACUCUGUGCCAGCAGCCGCGGUAAUACAGAGGGUGCGAGCGUUAAUCGGAAUUACUGGGCGUAAAGCGAGUGUAGGUGGCUCAUUAAGUCACAUGUGAAAUCCCCGGGCUUAACCUGGGAACUGCAUGUGAUACUGGUGGUGCUAGAAUAUGUGAGAGGGAAGUAGAAUUCCAGGUGUAGCGGUGAAAUGCGUAGAGAUCUGGAGGAAUACCGAUGGCGAAGGCAGCUUCCUGGCAUAAUAUUGACACUGAGAUUCGAAAGCGUGGGUAGCAAACAGGAUUAGAUACCCUGGUAGUCCACGCCGUAAAACGAUGUCUACUAGCCGUUGGGGUCCUUGAGACUUUAGUGGCGCAGUUAACGCGAUAAGUAGACCGCCUGGGGAGUACGGCCGCAAGGUUAAAACUUAAAUGAAUUGACGGGGUCAUAGCUGUUUCCUG
rnacentral:rRNA from 1 species